GUGUCUUCCAGCCCCCUAAAGUCUCUAGGGCUCAUACCCGGUGGGAAGGCUUUAUUGCGCAAAUAUGGGGUUAGUGAUGAGGGCCAGUGUGUUAGACCAUGUUUGAGCGCCGUGGUGUCCCAGAUUCGCAUGGAGUUCAGGAUGGCGGGGCAUGUCGUGGUGAGGUCAGGUCUAUCUGCCUUGGGGAUCCAAAUCCAGUACUGUGGGAGGUCUG